UACGGGGGGGGCAAGCGUUGUUCGGAAUUACUGGGCGUAAAGGGCUCGUAGGCGGCCAGCUAAGUCAGACGUGAAAUCCCUCGGCUUAACCGUGGAACUGCCUGUCAGACUGCAUGGCUUGAGACCAGGAGAGGUGAGUGGAAUUCCCAGUGUAGCGGUGAAAUGCGUAGAUAUUGGGAGGAACACCAGUGGCGAAGGCGGCUCACUGGACUGGUACUGACGCUGAGGCGCGAAAGCGUGGGGAGCAAACAGG
rnacentral:rRNA from 1 species